rnacentral:rRNA from 1 species
UACGGAGGGGGCAAGCGUUGUCCGGAAUCACUGGGCGUAAAGCGCACGUAGGCGGGACGGUGCGUCGGUGCUGAAAGCGCCAGGCUUAACCUGGCGAGGCGUGCCGAUACGACCGACCUCGAGGCAGACAGAGGGUGGCGGAAUUCCGGGUGUAGUGGUGAAAUGCGUAGAGAUCCGGAGGAACGCCGGUGGCGAAAGCGGCCACCUGGGUCUGACCUGACGCUGAGGUGCGAAAGCGUGGGGAGCAAACCGG